UACGUAGGGUGCAAGCGUUGUCCGGAAUUAUUGGGCGUAAAGAGCUCGUAGGCGGUUUGUCGCGUCUGCUGUGAAAUCCCGAGGCUCAACCUCGGGUCUGCAGUGGGUACGGGCAGACUGGAGUGCGGUAGGGGAGAAUGGAAUUCCUGGUGUAGCGGUGGAAUGCGCAGAUAUCAGGAGGAACACCGAUGGCGAAGGCAGUUCUCUGGGCCGUAACUGACGCUGAGGAGCGAAAGCGUGGGUAGCAAACAGG
rnacentral:rRNA from 1 species